rnacentral:lncRNA from 1 species
AUGAAAAAACACUAUGACCGGAGAGCAGUUGCUCGUCAGUUUAAACCUGGUGAUCAGGUUCUAGUUUUGCUCCCUAUUCUGGGCUCUUCUCUGAAAACAAAAUUUUUUGGACCAUAUGUUGUGGAAAAGAAACUCAGUGAGACCAAUUAUGUUGUUCAAACUCCUGAUUGUUGUUGCAAGACUAGAGUAUGCCACAUUAACAUGAUGAAACAUUAUCUUUCUAGAGAGAAUGAAGAUGAUCCCCUCACUCCACACAAGGUUAAGUCUAGGUCCCCUGUAGCAUGCGUAGCUUCAGAUAUAGCCAAUGAAAGCAGUGAGGAGGAUGCGGUCCUGCGCAAAGAUGCGUCACAGGGGACGAGACUAAGUAAUAGUGAGAUUCUGUCUGACUUGCCCCACUAUUUGUCUCACCUGUCACUUAAUCAGGCUGAAGACAUUCAGAACCUGAUCGUGUCCUUCCGGUGUAUUUUUGGGGAUGUUCCUACCCAGACAAGUUUGAUAUCCCAUGACAUAGUUCUUACCAAUCCUGCACCCAUUAAACAGCAUGCAAACAGAGUCAAUCCCAUCAAAAGAGAAGUUAUAAAAGAGGAAGUAGAGUAUCUUGUUAGAAAUGGACUUGCCAUACCCAGUUGUAGCCCCUGGAGUUCCCCAUGUUUGUUGGACAUUAAACCUGAUGGGAGUCCACGGUUCUGUACGGACUUCCGCAAAGUGAAUGCUGUGACAGUUCCUGACGCGUAUCCCUUGCCUCUCAUCGAUGAUUGCAUUGAUGACAUCAUACCUCCCACAUUUAUUACUAAACUGGAAAUGUUGAAAGGUUAUUGGCAGAUUCCUUUCGACAUAUCUGGCUGUGGCUCAGGUAGUAGAGCAGAUCAGCUACUCAUCAGAAGGUUGGUGGUUCGAUUCCUGGCUCCCCCAGUCUGCAUGCCAAAUAUCCUUAGGCAAGAUACUAACCCCAAAAUUGCCCUCCGAUGCAUUCAUCAGAGUGUGAACGUGUGUGAAUGUUUAUUAGUUGCACUUGAGUUUAGAAGUGCUUGUGUGAAUGAGGCAUGUUGUAUACAGUGCUUUGAGUACUCCGGGAGAGUAGAAAAGCACUAUAUAAGAAUCAGACCAUUUACCAUUCCUUUAACCAGAAGGGCAUCGGAGAUAUCCGGUUUUGUAACUCUGGACAGUUUCCUCCAGUACACAGUCAUGCCAUUUGGGUUAUGUAAUGCACCAGCUACAUUUCAGAGGCUAGUGAGCAAAGUAUUGGGUGAUGUUCCAAACUGCCAGGUGUAUCUGGAUGACAGUGUUGUGUAUUCCAGUGAAUGGGCAGAACAUCUUGUUACUUUGUUAGCAGUUUUUGAGCGCCUGUCAGCUGCCUCGCUGACUUUGAAUCUUGCAAAGUGUGAAUUUGGUUAA